rnacentral:rRNA from 1 species
GUGGAUUAGAUACCCUGGUAGUCCACGCCCUAAACGAUGUCAACUAGUUGUUGGAGAAGGAGACUUCUUUAGUAACGCAGCUAACGCGUGAAGUUGACCGCCUGGGGAGUACGGUCGCAAGAUUAAAACUCAAAGGAAUUGACGGGGGCCCGCACAAGCGGUGGAUUAUGUGGAUUAAUUCGAUGCAACGCGAAAAACCUUACCUACCCUUGACAUGCCAGGAACUUUCCAGAGAUGGAUUGGUGCCCGAAAGGGAACCUGGACACAGGUGCUGCAUGGUCGUCGACAGCU